AACGGUAACAGGAAGCACCUGGCUGCUUCUGUGACGAGUGGCGGAGGGGUGAGUAGUGUGGGGGGAUGUGCGUGAUGGGGGGGGACUCUAGGGGAAGCGGUCUCUAAUACCGCAAAGCGUCGCAAGACCAAAGAGGGGGACCUUCGGGCCUCUUGCCAUCAUAUGAACCCAUAUGGGAUUAUCUUGUAUGUGGGGUAACGGCUCCUCUGCGCCACUAUCCCUAUCUGGUCUGAGAAGAAGACCCCCCACUCUGAAACAGACACACGCCCCACACUCCUACGGGAGGCAGCAGUGGAGAAUAUUGCACAGUGGGCGCACCCCUGAUGCCCCCGUGCCGCGUGUAUGAAAAAGGCCUUCGGUUUGUAAAGUACUUUCCGCGGAGAAGAGGGCGAUGCGGUAAAUACCCGUGUCGAUUGACUUUACCCGCAAAAAAAGCCCCGGCUAUCUCCGUGCCCACACCCGCGGUAAUACAGAGGGUGCAAGCGUUAAUCAGAAUUAGUGCGCGUAAAGCGCACGCGCGCUCUCUGUCAACUCAGAUGUGAUCUCCGCGGUCUCAACCUGAGAUGUGCAUCCGACACUGGCGCGCUAGACUCUUGUAGAGGGGGGUAGAUUUCCGUGUGUAGCGGAGAUGUGCAUAGAUAUCUAGAAGAAUACCUGUGGCAAACGCCCCCCCCCUGCACAAACACAGACUCUCAUGUGCGAAAGCGUGGAGAGCACACGAGAUUAUAUACUGUGGGUACUCCACCCCAUACAAUGAUGUCUAUGUAGGAUGGUUGCCCCUCUUUGACGCGUCGUCUUCCCAGAUCUCACGCGAUAAACGUCCCAGCCGUGCU
rnacentral:rRNA from 1 species